rnacentral:rRNA from 1 species
AAACGGGUGGUAAUGCCGGAUGCUCCAGUUGAUCGCAUGGUCUUCUGGGAAAGCUUUCGCGGUAUGGGAUGGGGUCGCGUCCUAUCAGCUUGACGGCGGGGUAACGGCCCACCGUGGCUUCGACGGGUAGCCGGCCUGAGAGGGCGACCGGCCACAUUGGGACUGAGAUACGGCCCAGACUCCUACGGGAGGCAGCAGUGGGGAAUAUUGCACAAUGGGCGCAAGCCUGAUGCAGCGACGCCGCGUGAGGGAUGGAGGCCUUCGGGUUGUAAACCUCUUUUAUCGGGGAGCAAGCGAGAGUGAGUUUACCCGUUGAAUAAGCACCGGCUAACUACGUGCCAGCAGCCGCGGUAAUACGUAGGGUGCAAGCGUUAUCCGGAAUUAUUGGGCGUAAAGGGCUCGUAGGCGGUUCGUCGCGUCCGGUGUGAAAGUCCAUCGCUUAACGGUGGAUCCGCGCCGGGUACGGGCGGGCUUGAGUGCGGUAGGGGAGACUGGAAUUCCCGGUGUAACGGUGGAAUGUGUAG